rnacentral:rRNA from 1 species
UACGUAGGUGGCAAGCGUUGUCCGGAAUUACUGGGCGUAAAGGGCGCGCAGGCGGUUAUGUUAGUCUGCUGUGAAAAGCAUCGGCUUAACCGGUGUCUUGCGGCGGAUACUGCAUAGCUUGAGUACUGGAGAGGGAAGUGGAAUUCCCGGUGUAGCGGUGAAAUGCGUAGAGAUCGGGAGGAACACCAGUGGCGAAGGCGGGUAACUGGACUGCAACUGACGCUGAGGCGCGAAAGUGUGGGGAGCAAACAGGAUUAGAUACCCGGGUAGU